ACUAGAAUAUAUAAUCGGCUCGAAGACCUCUUUGCGUAGGGGAGAAGAGGGUCCAUAGCCGUUGGCAAGUGCUAGAGCGGCCACAUAUUCAGGUUGGUCACUCAAUUUUACCUCAAAGAAUCCACCGUUUUUCCGUGGAACCGAGACAGUCUCCGCGAUUUUUGUGAUGCCAAGUUUUCUCAGCACAGGGUAGCUAAAGGCAAACGGUAGAAAAGCAACAAAACGAACGGCCUGACUUUUACCAAAUCCGAGACCGAUAGCGCACAAGUA
rnacentral:rRNA from 1 species